AUCUCUGUGGCACAAUUGGUCAGCGCAUUCAGCUGUUAACCGGAAGGCUGGUGGUUCAAGCCCACCCAGGGACA
rnacentral:tRNA from 1 species